UAGCGGCNGGCUUAAUACNUGCAAGUCUAACGGGAAUAGUAGCUAUAUUAUUUCAGUGGCGGACGGGUGAGUAACGCGUACNCAACCUACCUUUCAGAGGGGGAUAGCAUCUGGAAACGGGUGGUAAUACCGCAUAGUUUUGCGAGGUGGCAUCAUUUUGCAAAUAAAGCUACGGCGCUGAGAGAUGGGUGUGCGUAUGAUUAGGUAGUUGGUAGGGUAAAGGCCUACCAAGCCGACGAUCAUUAGGGGGUGUGAGAGCAUGGCCCCCCACACGGGUACUGAGACACGGACCCGACUCCUACGGGAGGCAGCAGUAAGGAAUAUUGGUCAAUGGACGGAAGUCUGAACCAGCCAUGCCGCGUGAAGGAAGAAGGCGCUCUGCGUUGUAAACUUC
rnacentral:rRNA from 1 species